rnacentral:lncRNA from 1 species
AGCGUUUCAAUAUCUUGCUGGUACGGUAUGUCACGAUGGAUGAAACCUAUGCCGAUAGACAUUUGGGCUUGUUAAAUUCACCUAUUUUGGACUAUGGAAUUGAAAUGAAAUUUAUUGACUGUAAUAGUUUUGCUUGUUUUACAGAAAUUGGAUUUCGAUUUCCAUUCCACUCUGGAGUGGGAACACCUAAUGAAUUUAUGGCUCAAUCCGGUUUUGAAUCCUAAAUUGGUCCAUUCCGAGUAAAUCACUCAAAAAUCUUUCUUAUGAACAUUUUCUCCUCCUCUCCCUUCAUCAAUCUCCUAUCUCUUAAUAAAAAUCCUCUCUUAAAAUUCUAAAUGUUUUCCUCAAAAUUUUUUUUCUAAAUGUCCAUUCCAAUUUCCAUUUCAAUAAUGAACGAAAUAUUUUUGGAUAGUUCGUCAUUCCGUUUCUAUUCCAAUACAAUCCAAUACCAUUUUUUAUUUGGAUUCUACUCAUGAACCAAACAUGCCCUUAAACCUUUGGUUAAUAUUUCCAAGUUAAACAUCUACUAGAAAAGACUUCCCCCUCAAUGGGAGAUGGUAGCUUGUUAGAUGUGCCUCAAAUUUGAUAAUCGAUUUCGAUUUUGGGCGCUUGAUUCGUUGACAGUUUCGUGGUGCGAUGAAUUUGAAAAAGAAUUUGUGAAGGAAAAAAUGGAUAUUUGUGGUGGGUAGCAGAGGGCUUAGGGGUGCGGAGGGCGGAGCUCUUCGCGAUACAGAUCGGAUCCCCAGUCCGUUAAGAAAUCUCUAUCUUCCUUUUGCCCUAGACGCGAUACAGUGUAUUGCACUCACAAAUUUUUUUUUUUUCUUUCAUAGUGUAGUUCUCUACUUCUUCACCCACCCGCAGUUUUUCGGCUUUUCACGUAAAUCUUUAUGUUCAGUUUAUUUGCUAUUUGUGAUUUGUCUACUUUGUGUUAGUCAUUUUUCAUUUCUUUUUGUACGCUCGGCGUAACAUAACUAGAUUUUAAAUUUUCCUCAUCUUGGUACUUAGAGGGAAACAACCUCGAUAAGAGUAGGAAUAGAGAUCUUGCGAAACCAGUUGAAACUUGAAAUAAUAACCAAAAAAAAAAAAUUAUUAAGCCCGAAAACGCAAACUUUGUACAAAGUUCCCCUCUUCUUUAAUGGAAAUUUCACUAAAAGAGCCCUAAUCCUCUCCCUUAAUCAAAGAAAUCAGUAUAGAAAAUCUUCAAAAAAACAGAAUAGAGAGAGAGAGAGAGAGAGAGAAUAUGCAUCUGAACUAUGCAAUUUUUUUUUUCUUUUCUUUUAUUGUAUUAAUCGAAGGUAACAAUUCAAUUUCCGCCAAUGUAAUGAAUAUGAAGAAAUUAAUACUUACUAGAACUCAAGAGUACAAGUAUACAACAAAUAUCAAUACUACUUACACUUGCAAUUACAAAAGCUAUCUAUACUCUGACAUAUAUCUUACAAGAAUUGCAGUACAAAAAUUUGUAUAUGCUAGUAAAAAUAUCCGCGAAUUUCUCUAUUCGAAUAUAUUGUAGUUGAACUUGAUUUGCCCUUCCUUCUAUCUCUUUUGGAAGUUAAACUUCAUUAUCGCGAACCCGAAUAGGAAAGCGAAUAGAACAGCGAACGCGACCACGACGACCGCGACCACUCCCAAGAAACUAUGCCUGAAGCCAAAGUAGUCCCUCACAAAAUCGGCCACAGUCUCGCCGCUGUCGAGCUUAUCCCCUAUGUCUCCAAACUGUGAGACAACCAACCCGUAUAAGGUCCACGCCACGGGACUUAUCCAAUAGUACCAUCUCCACCACACAGGAAUUCUCUGAAGAAAGGAGGAAAAAAAAAGAAGAAGAGAGUUAUUUCAAUAGAAUAAACUUGCUAAAAGAGUAAGAAGAAUCAGGUGCAAUUGAGUUGGAACUCACGGUUCGGGGAAUGAUAAAGCCGGAGAAGAGAUUCCACAAGCCAUAGAAUGCGGAGGAGACGAUUGAGGCUAUGUUGUAGUUGGGGGUCAAUCCCACAGCCAUCAUUCCGUAGAAUGUGAAGUAUAGCAGUGUGAAGUACAUGAAGAACAAGUACCAAAAGAAUUUAGCAGCCGUCCAUUCAAAUCCGAUCAUUGCAUAGACUAUCACACCAUAUAUUACAGCCUGAACAAAGAUAUAUGGAAGUUCUAUCGCAACCUGCGAAUGAUAAAAGGGUGGUUAGAUUGCAAGGUCUAUGGUUUCUUCUGUACCUUCUGGUAAACGCAUUCAUCCAUAUCUGGAACUCAACUGAACAGGGUUGAAUUCACAAGAUGAUUGUACAUUAGCAGUUUGAUCAACUAAAUUUAAUUUGCUUAUUUUUGCAUCAAUUAGAAGUUAGCGGAUCAAAUUACAAUUAGGAACUGUAAGGGCCUUUUAGUUUAACCGAGAAAAUAAAUGGCAAAAAGAGAAGUUGAGACUAAUUACUUGUCCGAAUGCGUAUGGCAAAGCUGAAUACAUCCCAGCUGCUCUCUCUCUGUAAAAGACUGUUCUUUCAACCGCCACGACCGGCUGAACGGAUGAAGAGUUUUGCACCCCAAUGAAUAAGACCGCAGCAUACAUGGAUCCCAUGGCAUUGAACAGAUCCUGUUGUUGCUUCCUGCAAAAGUAGAAUUCAAGAAUCGAUAUGAUUAUCUUCAGAACAAAAUAUAAAUAGUUGGAAUAUAUAUAUAUAUAUUUGUGGCAUUCGAAUCAACAGUUACCUUUUUGUGCCAAGGUCCCAGAAUAUAGUUCCGAACAACAAUGCUAUGAUCGUCGUGAAGAAGAGCCUUACAGCAGUGUACGGAGGAUUCCUCCAAUAUGACAAGCUUUGCUUCCAAAAGCAAGCCAUGCAUUGUGUGAAGAAGGAUUGCGAGUAUUGAGUUGGGAAAUAGAGGUCACUUGAACCCGGUGGGGGUGUACUUAGUUCCUUUAUCAAAGCCAUGUUCCUCCUGAUGUACAAUGCGCAAUUAUGAGUAAUGAGAUGGUAUGGAAACUAAGGUAGAAAAGGGCAAAGCGGCAGUCUACUCACUGAUAAAGCUCAGAUUUCUUAUAUAUUUCACUGAAAUUAACUCCUAGUAUCUCUUCUUGUGCUGGCGAGGUCACUUCCAACAUCCAUGUUGCAGGAUUAUAGCCAUCUUUAAUCUUACUAACGCCUUCAAUUCCCUACACGUAAUAGAUUGGAAGUAACUGUUAGUUGUCCUUUUUACUCGUUUUUUUUUUUUAAAUAGAAGAUGAAAACAUUUGAUCAUUUUCAUCUUCCCCAAAGAAAGAGAAAACCUUUGAUCAUUUUCUACUCACAAAUAUCUUACAGAAAUAAUGGUUCAUAAGAAACGAACAAAAUUUGAAGUUGAGAAUUGUGUUUAUACCUCGAAAUACUUGAUCAGGAGGGAAGAAUGGUGUCCUAGUGGACCUACGUAUAUCUCCUCUCCUCCUCUCUUCAUCAGGAAAAGCUGUAUGACAACAUAAAAGACAUCAUGAGUCAAAUAACUGGCAAAACACAAGUAACUAGAAAGUCAGAAAAUCUCACUCACCUCAUCAAAAGCUUCGAAUAUAUCGAUACUUGGUUGGUGAAUAGUACAAACAACAGUCCUCCCAGUAUCCACAGUGUUUCUUACAGUUCUCAUAACAAUUGCUGCGGCCCGUGCAUCAAGCCCUGAGGUUGGUUCAUCCAUGAAAAUAAUAGAGGGGUUAGCAACAAGCUCCACAGCAAUAGUGAGCCUUUUCCUUUGUUCGGUUGACAAACCAUUCACUCCAGGCAAUCCAACAAGGGCAUCUCUCAACGAAUUGAGCUCUACAAGCUCCAUCACCUCUUCAAUAAACAUCUGCAAUCAAUAAUCCAAAAUAUAUGUCAGAAACUUAAGAGAAAUCACUUUGUACUUGGGUAGCGGCCGUAGCUAUCCAUAUGCCUAGUUUUUAAAAGCUCGUGCUUGCUAGAGCGGAGAACCUAUUCCAACAGCCAAGAAAAGAAGGCAAUUAUGUUAUUUACUAACUGACCUUUCGUGUUGUCGAAUCAACUUCUGAAGGGAGUCGAAGCCACGCAGAGAAUACGAGAGAUUCAUACACUGUCACAUUAGGAGAAUGGAUAUCAUUCUGUUCACAAUAUCCUGAUACACGAGCGAAAGUCUCUUGCUUCUUUGGGUAGCCGGAUAUGGUGAUGUUUCCCUCAAUAUAUCCACCCGUUUUUCUACCAGCCAACACGUCCAUCAACGUUGUCUUACCGGCCCCACUAACACCCAUUAAAGCUGUAAGAACUCCCGGCCUAAAAGAACCGCUCACACCUUUCAGGAGUUCCAGUCGGUCUUCCGUUAUGCCUUGCGCUUUCAUUUCCUGCAAGUUUAUCAGAAGAUCAUCAAUCUGUUUGGGUAAUAAAGAAAAUGCAGAAGGGCCUUUGCAUAAAGUUGUCUGUUUAAAAUAAGUUACCUGUGGCAUGUCCACGGAGUAUCUUACAUUCUCGAAGGUGAGGGAGAGAGGUACAAAUGGAAGGACCAUUCCCUUCUUGCUUGGACUAGCACCGGCAACUUCAUUCAUGGAGUUUGAUGCUGUGUUACUUCUCGUUAUCUCAUGAUUGCUUCCUGUUUCUAUUAAAAUUGCUGUUAGAUGAACCCUCAUCAAUAGAAACUAGCUUAAAAAUACAUAGUAACAAGAUAUACUUUGAACCUUUGAAAAUAAAAGAAGAGAGAAAAAAAAGAGAGAGAACAGACAUACUUUGAGAUGCAGAGGUAUUGGCAGAAAUCCUGCCUCUAGGUGAACCUUCUAGAACUUCACCGGUCAAAUUUGCUUGCUUUUCAUUUAAUGUUUCUUCAGAUAUAACUGGUUGACCUUUACCAAAUGCUGCAAACAUGAAGACAUCGUACUCAACAUAAGAGAUCCAAACUGGAUUCUUAACUUUUAAUGGCCAAUUAAUGGUAGAAGUAUACUCACGAUUCAGAUAGGUGAUUGCUAGAGUGAAAAGAAUGUUGAAAAGAAACAAGUAUCCUAUUAAGGCACCGAAGCCAAUCCAAUACCAUUUGGCUUCUGGAAAGACUCCGCGAGACGUCAAGACCUGAACACCUAAUGAUUCAUUUUGUCCUGGAAGUUUCUGUAGCAGGACAUGAAAAACACAUAAGCUAGAGUUCCUAUGCAAUUUAAUCAUUUUUGUUUUGUUUUCAAGAAGUAAUAUCCUUACUUUGCUCCAGCUAUGCCCUAGAAACUCAUUUGUUGAGAUAGCAUUCUGUGCAUACAUUAGUGGUGAGAUCCAGUAACCCCAAAUCCACCACUUCUUCACAUCCUCUGUCAGAAGAACAGAGAAGGGUUUGUUGAGUCAAAAUUGCAAUAUAAACUUGCAUUAGUAUAUUAAAAAAGUGCAGGGGAGCUAGUAGUGCAUACCUCUUGAAAGAAUGAAUCCACCCAGCACCAAAAGAAUCAGAAGUGCAAAUGAUCCAAAGGUAUUUGCGACGAUCAUGUCUCUAGCCAGUCCACCAAUGAAACGGAAUAGUGCAGACGCCAUCUGAUUGAUAGCUAGGAGUAUCAGAUACUGCUUGAAUAGCCUGUAAACCAGAUUGCUUGCUAUCAAUUUCAGAAAUAGCCUCCAAAUUACAGAGAAGAAGGACAGGAUAGAAGGGAAUAAAGUUGUGUUUCUAACCUGCCUACAUUCGGAUCGAAUCCAAUGACAUAGUAUGUCAUGAAAACCCAGACCGCUACUUCAAAAAAUGAUAUGGGGAUCUUCAAAAUCCAAGAUGGUAAACUGUAUGACCAUGCAGGAAAGAACAGAAGAUCUCUUUGCUUGAAGAAAACAGGAAGCUUCACAAUGGUCAUGGCAAGUUCCGAGAACCCAUUAAACAUGAUCAUGACUACUGCAAAGAAGAGUGCCCCCAUAUAGAUCCCUCCAUCUGUUGUAGAAUCUCGGUGCAUAUUUGUGCGCAAGAAGAGAGUCAUUGCGAUGAUUGCCAUUAUUGUGAGCUGCCAAAGAGAAAUAGCAUAUUUUCAUCUAAUGCCAUAUUUUUGCCAAAUUGGACCACAAUAAAAUUGAGACAAAACUCACCUGAGUGGCCUUAAAUAUGUAGACAAAUGAGUUCCUCUUCAUGAGCAAGAUUUCUCUAUCAAUGUUAGCUUUCAGCAGUUCCGUCUUGCUAACACCAUAUUUUGACGUAGUCAAAGCAGCAGGAUGGCUCUUGCUCUUGUCAAAUGGCACGGCAAGCUCAUUUGCUAGAGCCCGACCGAGAUGGAAGGAAUGGAAGGCCUCUGCAAACUCCCUUACAGGGACAAAUCUAUAAGGCUCAUCAUGGCGCAUCCAAUACUGCUGCUGAUCUUUCCUUGAUGUCACCUAUAUAUGCAAAAUAAAAAUUAAACAGAUUCAAUAUGAUCUUCUAAUUGCAUAGCUAAUUCCUGGAAUUAAGAAAAAACAGUUUGUGAUAAACCUACUUCUUGCAAGAAGUCAGCGAUGCCCUUCCUCUCGGGGCAUUUGAAGCCCAUGGACUCAAAGAACUCAAGCACAUACUCACGUGGGCCUUCGUACAUGAUUUGCCCAUCAGAAAGAAGAAUAAUAUCAUCGAACAAAUCGUAGGUCUCUGGUGCAGGUUGAAGCAACGAGAUAACGGCCGUCCCUCCAAGAAUGUGAAUUGAUUGCCUGAGUGAAUUCACAAUUUGAAAAGUCGUUGAGCUAUCCAGCCCAGUAGAUAUCUCAUCCAUGAAUAGAGCCCUCGCAGGUCCAACAAGCAUCUCGCCUAUGUCACACAAAUUUGACCCCAAUAAAUUAGUCUGGGUAACAGAAAGUUAGUAGAAAACACAUUAGAAGAUAUUUUAUAUUUGAACCACAAGCUCACUAUUCUAAUCAGCAUUCUUUAUAUUUUAAAACCGAGGUUUUAGCCUACUGGAAAGAUGUGAUCUGAGAUGUACCUGUUGUGACACGCUUCCUUUGUCCACCAGAUAUACCUCUCAACAUAUCAUUUCCUACCAAUGUAUCGGCACAAAUUUCCAGUCCCAAUAUCUAUCGGAAAUAGAGAAGCAACAAGGAGUAAAGCAGGGAAAUAUCAAUUUUCUGAAUUUUCUUUUCAAUGAACCAAUAUAACUUCAUAAAAUACUUCAUGUAUACAAAUUUACGAAGAGAUCAUGUAACAUACCUUCAGUAUAUAAUCUGUGACUACACUCGCUUCCUUCCCUCCCAUCGCAGCUGCCUAGAGUAGUGAAAAUGAAGGGACAUUUAGUACAAAAAUGCACUCACUUAGUUUUAUAUCGAAGAGAGGGAAUUGAAUGAAGAAUUAUUACUGCACCUUCAUGAAGACAUCGAUGUCAGGGUCCGGCUUGAUAUUCGCAGCCUUCUCCCUUCUUGCUAAUUCAGUUAACAUCUCUGUGGUAUUGUACAAAUACAACAUACGAUUAGAUUUUUUUUUUUUCCCAGUUACCUUACAGUUAUUAUUCUAAUUUUGAGCUUAUAAUUAUAUUUCUAUACUAACCAUGUAGAGUACCGACUCCUUGGCACCUAGCAGAGAAAGCUAAGGUCUCUCGCACCGUCAUCUCCCCGAUAUGGAGAUCAUGCUGACUAAUAUACGCCGCAGAUCUCUGAGGAACAAACUCAUUCAUGUCGUGGCCAUUGUAGGUCACUCUUCCUGAGAACUGUUUCAUUAUCGGAAAACAAAACCACCUCUAGUUAAUAUCGACCAUCAUAUGCCUACGUUUUCGUUCACAACCAAAUAAAAAACUAGUACAAUAUAGUGAGAGUCUCGACCUUAAGAUCCGAGUCUAGUUUUCCGGCCAAGGCCAACAAUAAUGUGGUCUUCCCCGAUCCCGGCGGACCUAAUAGCAAAGUCAUCCUGCAAAUAACAAUUAAGUACAAUCAGCAAAAAUUUCUCAUAAUCGGAUGAUGUUAUGGUUGGUCGAUAACAAAUUUCUCAUAAUGCUUGGAUUGAAUCAUAAUUAUAAAAGAAAAGCAUCUUAUACCUGCGAGGCUUGAUGAUUCCACUAACGUCGUGAAGGAUCGGCAUCGGUCUCUUCCUGCUCGGCAGUAUAUGCAGAGAAUUCGCCACGGCCUUGUUUACAAAAGUAAUCAGAUCAAUACGCAAAAAAAGCGAGGAGAUCACAAAAAUUAGAUCAAAUUUCUCUUCUUAAUACUAUAAUUCGUUUCCUUAGACUACCUCAAGCGUGUUAAUAGUGGAAUUGAGAAUCGUGGGCAAUCCUCUGUUUCCAACAUAAGUCUCCGCCUCGAUGCUUAGAUGCUCGAAUCGCACUUCGAUUGUGGGUAGCUCGAUCCCGACUCUACGCAAACAAGCACCCCAAAGACACAAUUAUACGAGGAAAAGAAAGAUUAAGAAAAAAAUCAGACAAAGCAGAGUCGAUUCGAGCUCUUUACCGAUCGAUUCGAUCCUUGAGCUUCAACAAGAACCUCUCGUUGUCCUCCUCCGCGACCCUCACCAGCCGCUCCAGCAGCGCCUUCUUCUCCUGGAAGCUGAGCUCCGCGACGUCGAUCUCCCGCCGCUCCCCCUCGGGGAGCGCGAGAAUCGCCCGCCGCACCCGGUCGUAGGUGGGGAGCUUCUCGAGCGCCGCCCAUUUGAGGGCCUCCUCGUCGUCCUCCUCCCUCGACGACCUCGAGAACACCUCCUCCCCCCUCCUCCAUAUCGCGCUAUCGCGCCGUAUGCUCCCGAUCUUGUGUAUCUCCCCCGAAUCCAUCCCCGGAGCUCGCGACUCCCGCGCCCACCACCCCCACCACCUCACCUGCUCGGCGAAAUGCCCUUAUGAACCCUCUCCUCCCCCUUCCCCUUCGCCUUCCUCUUCCUCUUCCUCUUCGUUUGCUCCGUUUCUUUUUUGCUUCUCCGCAAAAAUGCAGUGUGAAAUGGUUAUGGUGACAGAGGAGGGAGAGGAGGGGAGGGGUUUAUAUAGAGAGAAGCAGAAGCGGAAACGAAGCGGCUUCUGCGGUUUGAAAAAGCGAUUUUGGUCAAAGCGGGAGGGGAGGUGGGAGGGAGAGAGAGAGAGAGAUAGAGAGAGAGAGAGAGAGAGAGGAGGAGAAAAGAGUUCUUGCUCGUUAAGCCAAUCUCGCAUGUCGUAAUCUUAGCUGUUCCCGGAAAAUUUUCAAAUUUUUUUUUAAAAAAAUUGAAUUUGUUCUAUUAGAUAAAAAUAGGAUAAACUUCAAAUACACCCCUGUGAUUUCACACUUUCUCACUUUAGUAAUAUGUAGUUUAAAGUGUAUCAAGUUAACUCAUGUAGUUUCACACUUUCUCACCGUGGUUUAAAGUGUAUCAAGUUAAUACAUUGUGGUUCUAUUUUUCCCUUUUCAUUAUUCAUGUCACAAAUUUUUUUCAUUAAAUCAAUGAUAAAAUUAAAAUUAAAGAGUACUAAAGUAAAUAUUCGAUAAACCUAGAUAGGAUAUCUGAAGUUUUUUUUGUAUAUAAUUUAAUAAAAUAUUAAAGGAGAAAAAACAAUCGGUGACAAAAUUAAUAUUAAAAAGUACUAAAGUAAAUAUUUGAUAAACCUAGAUAGGAUAUCUGAAGUUGUUUGUAUAUAAUUUAAUAAAAUAUUAACAGAGGAGUCAACGAAAAGAGAAAAAUGAAACCACAAGGUACUAAAUUGAUGCACUUUAAAUCACAUAAUGCUAAAGUGAGAAAGUGCGAAAUCACCUUGUACUUAAUUGAUACACUUUAAACCAUAGAGUACUAAAGUGAAAAAUUGUGAAACUACAUGGUGAUAUUUAAAGUUUUCCCAUAAAAAUAUUACAGAAAUAGUGACAGUAGAAGCUUCUAUUGGUCAAAUUACCGAAAUGCCCUCCCACCACGCUCCACUGUUUUGGAGCGGGUUUUGCUCUCAGGAUACAAAUUUGUCUAUUUUUGUAAUUUUAUCAUAGUUUGAAAAGUUUAUUAUUAAAUAGAAUGAUAAUGUGAUAUACUUUAGAAAUUAUAAAAUUUCUAAGUAUAAAUUAUAAACAAGAAAAAAAUUAUAUUUUGUUACUCUGUAUUUCGUAAAUUUUAUCCCCUUAAUAUUAUAUAAUUUUGUAAAGUAUAAUAUUUUGAUACGUCACUUAAAUAUUUUGAUUCUCUUUGGUUAUACUAUUUAUAUGAAAUUUAAGUCUGGGCGCAUUUGGGGUAAAUUUGACAUAAACUGAUGGAUUAACAAUUGUUUAAUUCAUUUAAAAAAAGAUUAACUUACAUUAAGUAAAUUACAAAGGAACAAAUAAUAAUAAUAAUAAUAAAAAUAAUAAAUAGUUCAAGAGUCCAUUUCAAAAUAAGAUGAAGUUGAGGGACUCUCGGUCUAUUUAUACCUAAAAUUUAGGGAGAUAUAUUCCAAAGAAAGUUCGGUGGGAGACAAUGAUUCAAAAGGUAGUAGACGGGACCACGGAACAAAUUGUGGGACUAUUAACUUUGAUAUUUUACAAUUAAUGCGAAAAUGAUUGGUUUGUUAGUGACUCUUACUGUGAUAUGAUUAAAAAAAUAAAAAAACGUCUCAUCCUACACCUUCUAGAAGGCCACGGGGAGAUCACCACAGCUGCAUGACCCAAUCCAUGACACAAAAAAUGGAGGUGAGUCUAUCUGUAAUCCUCCGAAUUCUAUGAAUAUAUCUGUCAAUAUUAAAUUUAAUUAAUAUUUUAUUAGUAUUAAAAGUAUUGGUCUACUGUAUAUUUUAAGAUUAAAUUUGACUUUUGUAAGUUGUGAUAUUUACUUAAUUGUACGUACCUUCCUGAUUAGAUCAACGAGCAUUUUGUAUUUUUAUGAAAUUAUUAUUUCUAACGCUACUAAAUACAUGCUAAUUAGACACAAUGCCGUUUUGACCAAUUAGAAAUUAGAAAUUGUGUAUUAAAUGCUGGUACCAUGUUAAGGGGCUUGCACCAAAUUCCAAAGCUUAAAUUAUGAGAUAAUGAUACUUUUCACAUUAUAUGUAGAUUAAUAUUUCACCUUGUAUUAUUGAUCAUACUUAUCGUAAUUUGCUAAGAAUUUGAUUAUCGGUAUUCGAGUUUCAAUAGAAUGUUGGAUGUGGCCCAUGUGAUUAUUGGUACUCAAAAUUUAUAAACUGUAUGAAGUCUAUAUAUACUCUCCAAUGAUAUUUUAUUGGGAAGUUCCAACUUUAGUAAGGAGCUCUCCUACAACAGUUUGUUAGGAAAUCUUUGAUCUGUUGUUAUGUGUCAGUUUUGACUCAAUUCAAAAUUUUAUUUGGUAUUUUUUAAUAUAAAAUCUAAAAGUACUUUUUAAAAUCUUGAGGGGAGGAUUUUAGAUUCGCUGUCACGUGUUAGUUUUGCAUCUAUCCAAAAAUUUAUUAGGUGUAUUUUAAUAAUACAAUCCAAAGAUAUUUUUU